AACGAACGCUGGCGGCGUGCCUAAGCCAUGCAAGUCGAACGGGUUGUCGCAAGACAAUCAGUGGCGAACUGGUGAGUAAUACGUGGGUAAUCUGCCCGAGAGUGGGGAAUAGCCCUUCCAACGAGGGGGUAACACCGCAUAUUAUCGCGAAUCCGCAUGGAUUUGCGAUGAAAACAGGGGAUCGCAAGACCUUGUGCUCUCGGAUGAACCCGCGCCCCAUUAGCUAGUUGGUGAGGUAACGGCUCACCAAGGCGACGAUGGGUAGCCGGCCUGAGAGGGUGACCGGCCACACUGGGACUGAGAUACGGCCCAGACUCCUACGGGAGGCAGCAGGCGGGAAUAUUGGGCAAUGGACGAAAGUCUGACCCAGCGACGCCGCGUGAGGGAUGAAGCUUCUCGGAGCGUAAACCUCAAACGGAUAGGGACGAAAAGCCUAUCGGCUAAUAUCCGGUAGGCCUGACGGUACCUGUUACGAAGCUCCGGCUAACUCCGUGCCAGCAGCCGC
rnacentral:rRNA from 1 species